UACAGAGGGUGCAAGCGUUAAUCGGAAUUACUGGGCGUAAAGCGUGCGUAGACGGUUAUGUAAGUCAGGUGUGAAAUCCCCGGGCUCAACCUGGGAACUGCAUCUGUGACUGCAUCGCUGGAGUGCGGCAGAGGGGGAUGGAAUUCCGCGUGUAGCAGUGAAAUGCGUAGAUAUGCGGAGGAACACCGAUGGCGAAGGCAAUCCCCUGGGCCUGCACUGACGCUCAUGCACGAAAGCGUGGGGAGCAAACAGG
rnacentral:rRNA from 1 species